rnacentral:rRNA from 2 species
GCAGUCGAGCGAACUGAUUAGAAGCUUGCUUCUAUGACGUUAGCGGCGGACGGGUGAGUAACACGUGGGCAACCUGCCUGUAAGACUGGGAUAACUUCGGGAAACCGAAGCUAAUACCGGAUAGGAUCUUCUCCUUCAUGGGAGAUGAUUGAAAGAUGGUUUCGGCUAUCACUUACAGAUGGGCCCGCGGUGCAUUAGCUAGUUGGUGAGGUAACGGCUCACCAAGGCAACGAUGCAUAGCCGACCUGAGAGGGUGAUCGGCCACACUGGGACUGAGACACGGCCCAGACUCCUACGGGAGGCAGCAGUAGGGAAUCUUCCGCAAUGGACGAAAGUCUGACGGAGCAACGCCGCGUGAGUGAUGAAGGCUUUCGGGUCGUAAAACUCUGUUGUUAGGGAAGAACAAGUACGAGAGUAACUGCUCGUACCUUGACGGUACCUAACCAGAAAGCCACGGCUAACUACGUGCCAGCAGCCGCGGUAAUACGUAGGUGGCAAGCGUUAUCCGGAAUUAUUGGGCGUAAAGCGCGCGCAGGCGGUUUCUUAAGUCUGAUGUGAAAGCCCACGGCUCAACCGUGGAGGGUCAUUGGAAACUGGGGAACUUGAGUGCAGAAGAGAAAAGCGGAAUUCCACGUGUAGCGGUGAAAUGCGUAGAGAUGUGGAGGA